rnacentral:rRNA from 1 species
ACGAACGCUGACGGCGUGCUUAACACAUGCAAGUCGAACGGUGAAGCGCCUUCCUUUUUGGUGGGUGUGGAUGAGUGGCGAACGGGUGAGUAACACGUGAGUAACCUGCCCCCUUCUUCUGGAUAACCGCAUGAAAGUGUGGCUAAUACGGGAUAUUCUGGGUCUGUCGCAUGAUGGGUCUGGGAAAGAUAUUGUUUCGGUGGGGGAUGGGCUCGCGGCCUAUCAGCUUGUUGGUGGGGUGAUGGCCUACCAAGGCGGUGACGGGUAGCCGGCCUGAGAGGGUGGACGGUCACACUGGGACUGAGACACGGCCCAGACUCCUACGGGGGGCAGCAGUGGGGAAUAUUGCACAAUGGGCGCAAGCCUGAUGCAGCGACGCCGCGUGAGGGAUGGAGGCCUUCGGGUUGUGAACCUCUUUCGCCAGUGAAGCAGGCCUGCCUCGUUUGUGGGUGGGUUGACGGUAGCUGGAUAAGAAGCGCCGGCUAACUACGUG